rnacentral:rRNA from 1 species
UGCCUACGGGGCGCAGCAGUGGGGAAUAUUGCACAAUGGGGGGAACCCUGAUGCAGCGACGCCGCGUGAAGGAAGAAGUAUUUCGGUAUGUAAACUUCUAUCAGCAGGGAAGAAAAAGGACGGUACCUGACUAAGAAGCCCCGGCUAACUACGGGCCAGCAGCCGCGGUAAUACGUAGGGGGCGAGCGUUAUCCGGAUUUACUGGGGGUAAAGGGGGGCGCAGACGGCCAGGGCAAGCCCGGUGUGAAAGGGGCGGGCACA